rnacentral:rRNA from 1 species
UACAGAGGGGGCAAGCGUUGUUCGGAAUUACUGGGCGUAAAGGGCGCGUAGGCGGCCCGCUAAGUCGAACGUGAAAUCCCCAGGCUCAACCUGGGAACUGCGUCCGAUACUGGCAGGCUUGAAUCCGGGAGAGGGAUGUGGAAUUCCAGGUGUAGCGGUGAAAUGCGUAGAUAUCUGGAGGAACACCGGUGGCGAAGGCGGCAUCCUGGACCGAUAUUGACGCUGAGGCGCGAAAGCUAGGGGAGCAAACGGG